AGAGUUUGAUCAUGGCUCAGGAUGAACGCUGGCGGCGUGCUUAACACAUGCAAGUCGAACGAUGAUCCGGUGCUUGCGCCGGGGAUUAGUGGCGAACGGGUGAGUAACACGUGAGUAACCUGCCCUUGACUCUGGGAUAAGCCUGGGAAACUGGGUCUAAUACCGGAUAUGACUCCUCAUCGCAUGGUGGGGGGUGGAAAGCUUUUUGUGGUUUUGGAUGGACUCGCGGCCUAUCAGCUUGUUGGUGGGGUAAUGGCCUACCAAGGCGACGACGGGUAGCCGGCCUGAGAGGGUGACCGGCCACACUGGGACUGAGACACGGCCCAGACUCCUACGGGAGGCAGCAGUGGGGAAUAUUGCACAAUGGGCGAAAGCCUGAUGCAGCGACGCCGCGUGAGGGAUGACGGCCUUCGGGUUGUAAACCUCUUUCAGUAGGGAAGAAGCCCUCUUUGGGGGUGACGGUACUUGCAGAAGAAGCGCCGGCUAACUACGUGCCAGCAGCCGCGGUAAUACGUAGGGCGCAAGCGUUAUCCGGAAUUAUUGGGCGUAAAGAGCUCGUAGGCGGUUUGUCGCGUCUGCUGUGAAAGACCGGGGCUCAACUCCGGUUCUGCAGUGGGUACGGGCAGACUAGAGUGCAGUAGGGGAGACUGGAAUUCCUGGUGUAGCGGUGAAAUGCACA
rnacentral:rRNA from 1 species